AAGGAUUAUAACCGCGACUAAGUAUAUACGUAUAUUGAGAAAGAAAACUCACAUAGGUUAUGAAAUGAUUCCGAUUACUGAUAAUUUUUGG
rfam:Firmicutes bacterium CAG:582 genomic scaffold, scf55